AUUCAGUGACGAGUCCCAAACAGGACGAAAUGCGCGUUAUCCUGGAU
rnacentral:hammerhead_ribozyme from 1 species